AACGAACGCUGGCGGCAUGCCUAACACAUGCAAGUCGAACGAUCCCGGCGGGGCUUGUUGCGCAGGGGGAGGUGAGGACGGGUAAGCAGCCCGUAGGUUACCUGCCACUCAGCGGGGGAUGACCUAAUGACGCAUAAUCUAAUACCGCCUAAGAGUUAUCGCCUUAGGAUGGGCGCGCGAUGGAUUAGAUAGUUGGUGGGGUAGAUGCCUAUCAAGGCGACGAUCCAUAGCUGGUGGGAGAGGAUGACCAGCCACACUGGGACUGAGACACGGCCCAGAGCCCUACGGGAGGCAGCAGUGGGGAAUAUUGGACAAUGCGCGAGAGCCUAAUCCAGCAAUGCCGCGUGAGUGAUGAAGGCGUUAGGGUUGUAAAUCUCUUUUACCCGGGAUGAUAAUGACAGUACCGGGAGAAUAAGCCCCGGCUAACUCCGUG
rnacentral:rRNA from 1 species